GACGAACCGAGCGAACGUUGUUCGGAAUCACUGGGCUUAAAGGGCGCGUAGGCGGCUUGCCAAGUCAGGGGUGAAAUCUUUCGGCUCAACCGGAAAAGUGCCUCUGAUACUGGCAGGCUCGAGCGAGGUAGGGGCAUGUGGAACUUCCGGUGGAGCGGUGAAAUGUGUUGAUAUCGGAAGGAACACCGAUGGCGAAAGCAACGUGCUGGACCUCUUCUGACGCUGAGGCGCGAAAGCUAGGGUAGCGAACGGG
rnacentral:rRNA from 1 species